UAGGGAAUAUUGCGCAAUGAACGAAAGUUUGACGCAGCGACGCCGCGUGAGGGAUGAAGGUCUUCGGAUCGUAAACCUCUGUCAAGAGGGAAGAAGUGUGGCAGCUCUAAUAUAGCUGUUAUUUGACGGUACCUCUGAAGGAAGCACCGGCUAACUCCGUGCCAGCAGCCGCGGUAAUACGGAGGGUGCAAGCGUUAAUCGGAAUUACUGGGCGUAAAGCGCGCGUAGGCGGAACUUUAAGUCAGAAGUGAAAACCCCCGGCUUAACCGGGGAAUAGCUUUUGAUACUGAGAUUCUUGAGUUCAGGAGAGGGUGGCGGAAUUCCAGGUGUAGGAGUGAAAUCCGUAGAGAUCUGGAGGAACAUCAGUGGCGAAGGCGGCCACCUGGACUGAUACUGACGCUGAGGUGCGAAAGCGUGGGGAGCAAACA
rnacentral:rRNA from 1 species